GAUCACCGGCCAGUCACUGCAGGACGCCCUCCGCCCCGACGGGUCCGAGGCGCGCCCCGCACGGUCCUGCAGAACCUGCUUUUCGCCCGUCCCAGCUCAGGGAGGGGCUCUGGGACUCCGGAACUUGAGAAGGCCAGUGGUGGAGAGCCAAGUGGGCCGGGCCAGGUGGUGCGCAGCGUCGUAGACUUGUACCAAAAGAACGCAUCAGAUAUGAACAGACACGUUGCAGAAAAAUAAAUUAGCAUGGCUAACAUGGAUAUGAGAAGAUGCAGAACCACCCCCAUAGUUAAGGAAUUAAAACUUAAAACAAGGGGACACUUUUUACACCUAUCUGAGGGACAGAUCUGAAGAGAUUUGUCCCUCAGAGGACAAACAGAGGACAAACAAGAGGCUGACAAAUCUGACAGCGGUUAAUUCCGUGUUGGGGACACGGGUUCGAGCCCUGGUCCAGGAAGAUCCCACAUGCCACGCAGCAACAAAGCCCGUGCGCCGCAACUACUGAGCCUGCGCUCUAGAGCCCGCGAGCCACAACUGCUGAGCCCAUGUGCCACAACUACUGAAGCCCACGCGCCUAGGGCCGGUGCUCUGCAACAAGAGAAGCCACCACAAUAAGAAGCCUGCGCACCUCAAAGAAGAGUGGCCCCCACUUGCUGCAACUAGAGAUAGUCCACAUGCAGCAACGAAGACCCAACGUGGCCAAAAAUUAAAAAUAUAAAUAAAUUAAUUAAUUUAAAAAAUAAUUUAAAAAAUUAAAAUAAAAAGCGCCAUUAAAAAAUUCAAUGUAGGGCUUCCCUGGUGGCGCAAUGGUUGAGAGUCUACCUGCCGAUGCAGGGGACACGGGUUCGUGCCCCAGUCCGGGAAGAUCCCACAUGCCGUGGAGCGGCUGGGCCCGUGACCCAUGGCCGCUGAGCCUGCGCAUCCAGAGCCUGUGCUCCGCAACGGGAGAGGCCACAACAGGGAGAGGCCCGCGUACCGCAAAAAAAAAAAAAAUAAAAAUUCAAUGUAGAAUAUUUCUAGAAAGCUGCAGCUCUGGACCCUCUCAGUCUGGAGCCUAUUAGAAUUUUGUUUGGGGAUAAAACACUAUGAAAACAAAGCUGCGGGAAAGUAAGUCUUGCUGUAGAAAGCGACUUUUGUUAGACAUCGAAUGCUUAAGAGAUUUUUAUACUUACAAAAUGGAGCAUGGGUUUUAAAAUUUUUCUAGCAUUAUAAGAGACUUUAAUCUUUGCUGCCAGAAAAUGCCAGUCCUGGGUAUACAUGAAAUAUUUGGAGAAGCAAACUGUUUAACCCUGAGGCCUGUACACACUGGCAGCAGGAGACGGGUGACGUUGGGACAGCUGUAGGCAGGCCUCUGGUCUGUUUUGCCUCUGGAGGCCAGGACAGGGCAGGGUGAGCAUAUGGCUAGAGCCGGGGAGGGUGUGAGCUGCCCACAGAGCUGCUCAGCCCAGCCUGCGUUGGGUUCUUUAUUUAGCAAUCUCCUUGAGGCUGCAGUUCAGAGCUGACAGAGUAGAAGGAAUAACUGACGUCUGUAGAUUCCAUUGAUCAGAUCCUACCCAUGAGGUCCUCGGGCCUCCAAGUCAGCCAGUUGUCCAAAGCAGACCUCACUGAAGUCCUAGAUGAACUUUAAAUAGGUGUGUAUGUGGCAGGGGGCCCAGAGACUUCUAACCCAAACCACCGCCAGACCAUCAAGGGGAUGGGCCCAAGUGUCCAAGUGCUCCAAUCCUAAAAUCUCCUGAAUGGAGUACUUGCUUUCUACCUAGUCACUGAUGAAGAACUGUAUGUGUGUUUACUUAGUUAGCUCAGGCAGCUGCUAGGUGAAUCGAGUCUGUGAGCACACAUAUAUUUAUGUAUUCACCGGUAAGCCACUGUCUGAAGCACUUUACCUGUAUUGUGUCAUUUAACCCUCACAAGUAGAAACAUCUAUUCCCACUUUACAGGUUAAGAAACUGAGGAUCACGUGGGGUGUCCAAGGCCACACAGCUAGUAAGUGGCAGAACUGUGGUAAACACCACGCCCAGUUUCUAUUUCUGAAGGUCACAUUUAUACUCAUGCUUUACCGAUUCCUACUUCCUAGAAGGAUAUGCAGUGGUUACCGUGAAAUGGGUAAAGAUUAAAACACAUACCCAAUAACCUACGAACUCUAAAAAGGAGGAAAACACAAAAGCACACACAUACAGAGUGGCAGGAAAACAGGACUACUACCUCAGACUAGGGAGUUAGUCUUCUAGAAGUGUGUAGAAAACUUUUUUCUGAGUUUCCUGCAUUCACGAAUUCAGAAACAGGAGUGACAGAAUCAUCCUCAAGUUGCUAAGAUAUUUACCAGACUGCUUUUUUCUGAGAAGUUUUGGGGUAUUUUUGAUUGUAGUAUAGUUAAUUUACAAUGUUGUGUUAGUUUCAGGUAUACAGCACAGUGAUUCGGAAUAUUUUCCAUUAUAGGUUAUUACAAGCUAUUGAGUAGA